rnacentral:rRNA from 1 species
UACGAAGGGGGCCAGCGUUUGUUCGGAAUUACUGGGCGUAAAGCGCGCGUAGGCGGCUUUGUAAGUUAGAGGUGAAAGCCCGGGGCUCAACCCCGGAACUGCCUUUAAGACUGCAUCGCUUGAAUCCAGGAGAGGUGAGUGGAAUUCCGAGUGUAGAGGUGAAAUUCGUAGAUAUUCGGAAGAACACCAGUGGCGAAGGCGGCUCACUGGACUGGUAUUGACGCUGAUGUGCGAAAGCGUGGGGAGCAAACAGGG